GAUGAACGCUAGCGGCAGGCCUAACACAUGCAAGUCGAGGGGUAGAGUUCUUCGGGACUUGAGACCGGCGCACGGGUGCGUAACGCGUAUGCAAUCUACCUUAUACAGGGGAAUAGCCCAGAGAAAUUUGGAUUAAUGCCCCAUAGUGUUAUCGAAUCGCAUGGUUUGAUAACUAAAGUUCCAACGGUAUAAGAUGAGCAUGCGUCCCAUUAGUUAGUUGGUAAGGUAACGGCUUACCAAGACAAUGAUGGGUAGGGGUCCUGAGAGGGAGAUCCCCCACACUGGUACUGAGACACGGACCAGACUCCUACGGAGGCAGCAGUGAGGAAUAUUGGAC
rnacentral:rRNA from 1 species